UACGAAGGGGGCUAGCGUUGUUCGGAAUUACUGGGCGUAAAGCGCGUGUAGGCGGGUCUUUAAGUCAGGGGUGAAAUGCCAAGGCUCAACCUUGGAACUGCCUUUGAUACUGGAGACCUUGAGUCCGGGAGAGGUGAGUGGAAUUGCGAGUGUAGAGGUGAAAUUCGUAGAUAUUCGCAAGAACACCAGUGGCGAAGGCGGCUCACUGGCCCGGAACUGACGCUGAGACGCGAAAGCGUGGGAAGCAAACAGG
rnacentral:rRNA from 1 species